UGACCGGACUUGGUGCUCCGCUGGAUGGGGGGUGGGGAGACAGCAGGAGUGCUGAGGCCACGGCUUCCUACGCUGCAGGCUGACCUCACUUCGCACAGGUGUGCACCACGGUUAGCACAUCGGCCACGUCACCUCUGUGCUAGGCGCUUCCAUUAACUCUGAAUCGCUAGAGACCAGGGGAUUGAGACCAACUUGUAUUCUUUUUUUCUUUUUUUUUUUUUUUCUUUUAAUUACAGGGCCCUGAGAGUAUUUUUCUUCUGCCUCCUCGGGUCUCACAUUGUUUCCUAAUGUCCCUGUUAGGGCUUUUAAAGUCUCUUAGGCAGGAAUUUGUAGUGACAGAUGAUGGGGUCUGUUCUCAGGUCCCAGAUUCAGGGAAGGACUGGAAAGUGCUCAAUGAGGAGACAGACCCUUGGGGACCAGCCAGAGAGUCACAGAGGUCCCACCUGAAACGGCGGGUUCAUCCAGAGAGAAGCACUUUGACGGGGUCACGGAGCUCACAACAAAGAUCAGGGAAACAGCCAGAAGCCUGGCUGACGGCACAGCCUCCCAGGAACCUUCCCCAGGAGAGGGGUCUUGGAGACCAGGAGACAGGCGCUGCGCAUGGGACAGCCGGGGCCCAGGGAGCAGCCACGUGUGAGGACAGAGCUGCACUCCUCGGUCAGGAAGGACGGAUGCACCUCGGCCCGGCACAGAGGGCCCUCCACAGGGACAUUUCACAGAGGAAUGACAAAAACGACUCUCUGGGUAAGGAUGCCUGUUCCCUCAGGCCCAGAGCGGAGGUGUUCAUUUGUUCAGAGAGAGAGAGACUGGGAGACCGGAGAAAGGAGACAGAGGCAGACCACUGGGUCGAGGCAAGAAGGAAAUAAACAGGAAGAGCCUGAGAGCAGGUAUGAGACACAGAGACUGGAAGAAAGGGAAGGACAGGCCAGAGGGCUGACGACAGG